CGGGGUGUAGCUUAGUCUGGUAGAGCGCUUGCUUUGGGAGCAAGAGGUCGUCGGUUCGAAUCCGGCCACCCCGACCA
rnacentral:tRNA from 1 species